rnacentral:rRNA from 1 species
AAACUUCACAAUGGAGGCAACUCCGAUGAGGGAAUUCCAAGUGCUAGCACAUUAGUGUUAGCUUUUCUUAAGCAUAGAUAACUUAAGGAAUAAGGGCUGGGUAAGACGGGUGCCAGCCGCCGCGGUAAUACCCGCAGCCCAAGUGGUGGUCGAUUUUAUUGAGUCUAAAACGUUCGUAGCCGGUUCAUUAAAUCCUUGGGUAAAUCGGAUGGCUUAACUAUCCGAAUUCCGGGGAGACUGGUGAACUUGGGACCGGGAGAGGCAAGAGGUACUUUUGGGGUAGGGGUAAAAUCCUGUAAUCCUAAAAGGACCACCGGUGGCGAAGGCGUCUUGCUAGAACGGAUCCGACGGUGAGGGACGAAGCCCUGGGUCGCAAACGGGAUUAGAUACCCCGGUAGUCCAGGGUGUAAACGCUGCAGACUUGGUGUUGGGGACCCUUCGGGGGUGUUCAGUGCCGGAGAGAAGUUGUUAAGUCUGCUACUUGGGGAGUACGUCGCAAGGAUGAAACUUAAGGAAUU